CUACGGGUUGCAGCAGUGGGGAAUAUUGGACAAUGGGCGCAAGCCUGAUCCAGCAAUGCCGCGCGAGUGAAGACGGCCUUAGGGUUGUAAAACUCUUUCGCUAGGGAAGAUAAUGACUGUACCUAGUAAAGAAGUCCCGGCUAACUCCGUGCCAGCAGCCGCGGUAAUACGGAGGGGACUAGCGUUGUUCGGAAUUACUGGGCGUAAAGAGUUCGUAGGCGGACUGACAAGUUAGAGGUGAAAUCCCAGGGCUCAACCCUGGAACUGCCUUUAAAACUGUCAGUCUAGAGACCGGAAGAGGUUAGGGGAAUACCUAGUGUAGAGGUGAAAUUCGUAGAUAUUAGGUGGAACACCAGUGGCGAAGGCGCCUAACUGGUCCGGUACUGACGCUGAGGAACGAAAGCGUGGGGAGCGAACAGGAUUAGAUACCCGCGUAGUC
rnacentral:rRNA from 1 species